rnacentral:rRNA from 1 species
GACGAACGCUGGCGGCGUGCUUAACACAUGCAAGUCGAGCGGUAAGGCCCUUUCGGGGGUACACGAGCGGCGAACGGGUGAGUAACACGUGGGUGACCUGCCCUCAGCUCUGGGAUAAGCCUGGGAAAACCGGGUCUAAUACUGGAUAUGACUCCAUGACGCAUGUUGUGGGGUGGAAAGCCUUGUGCGGCUGAGGAUGGGCCCGCGGCCUAU